rnacentral:rRNA from 1 species
GAUGAACGCUGGCGGCAUGCCUAAUACAUGCAAGUCGAACGAGAGGAAGGAAAGCUUGCUUUUCUGAAUCUAGUGGCGAACGGGGGAGUAACACGUAGGUAACCUGCCCAUGUGCCCGGGAUAACUUCUGGAAACGGAUGCUAAAACCGGAUAGGUAGCAGACAAGCAUUUGACUGCUAUUAAAGUGGCUAAGGCCAUGAACAUGGAUGGACCUGCGGUGCAUUAGCUAGUCGGUGAGGUAACGGCCCACCAAGGCGACGAUGCAUAGCCGGCCUGAGAGGGCGGACGGCCACAUUGGGACUGAGACACGGCCCAAACUCCUACGGGAGGCAGCAGUAGGGAAUUUUCGUCAAUGGGGGGGACCCUGAACGAGCAAUGCCGCGUGAGUGAGGAAGGUCUUCGGAUCGUAAAGCUCUGUUGUAAGAGAAAAACGACAUUCAUAGGGAAUGAUGAGUGAGUGAUGGUAUCUUACCAGAAAGUCACGGCUAACUACGUGCCAGCCGCCGCCGUAA